AUCCAGCUGACCAGUCCCGAAUAGAACGAAACGCGCAUCCUGGAU
rnacentral:hammerhead_ribozyme from 1 species